rnacentral:rRNA from 2 species
GAGAUUCCCCCAGUAGCGGCGAGCGAACGGGGAGGAGCCCAGAGCCUGAAUCAGUGUGUGUGUUAGUGGAAGCGUCUGGAAAGGCGCGCGAUACAGGGUGACAGCCCCGUACACAAAAAUGCACAUACUGUGAGCUCGAUGAGUAGGGCGGGACACGUGGUAUCCUGUCUGAAUAUGGGGGGACCAUCCUCCAAGGCUAAAUACUCCUGACUGACCGAUAGUGAACCAGUACCGUGAGGGAAAGGCGAAAAGAA